AGAGUUUGAUCCUGGCUCAGGAUGAACGCUGGCGGCGUGCCUAACACAUGCAAGUCGAACGCGCUCCAUUCGGUAGCAAUACUGAUGAAGAGUGAGUGGCGAACGGGUGAGUAACACAUGAGCAACCUGCCCCGAAGACCGGGACAACACCGGGAAACCGGUGCUAAUACCGGAUAUCCCUAUCGGACCGCAUGAUCUGAUAAGGAAAUGGAUUCCGCUUCGGGAGGGGCUCGUGGCCUAUCAGCUAGUUGGUGGAGUAACGGCCCACCAAGGCAUCGACGGGUAGCUGGUCUGAGAGGACGAUCAGCCACACUGGGACUGAGACACGGCCCAGACUCCUACGGGAGGCAGCAGUGGGGAAUCUUGCGCAAUGGGCGAAAGCCUGACGCAGCAACGCCGCGUGGAGGACGAAGGCUUUCUGAGUUGUAAACUCCUUUCAGCAGGGACGAUAGUGACGGUACCUGCAGAAGAAGCACCGGCCAACUACGUGCCAGCAGCCGCGGUGAUACGUAGGGUGCAAGCGUUAUCCGGAUUUAUUGGGCGUAAAGAGCUCGUAGGCGGUUUGAUUAGUCGGGUGUGAAACCUCCAGGCUCAACCUGGAGCCGCCACUCGAUACUGUCAUGACUAGAAUUCGGUAGGGGACCACGGAAUUCCUGGUGUAGCGGUGAAAUGCGCAGAUAUCAGGAGGAACACCAGCAGCGAAGGCGGUGGUCUGGGCCGACAUUGACGCUGAGGAGCGAAAGCGUGGGGAGCGAACAGGAUUAGAUACCCUGGUAGUCCACGCCGUAAACGUUGGGCACUAGGUGUGGGGACUAUUCAACGGUUUCCGUGCCGCAGCUAACGCAUUAAGUGCCCCGCCUGGGGAGUACGGCCGCAAGGCUAAAACUCAAAGGAAUUGACGGGGACCCGCACAAGCGGCGGAGCAUGUGGCUUAAUUCGAGGCAACGCGAAGAACCUUACCUGGGUUUG
rnacentral:rRNA from 1 species